rnacentral:lncRNA from 1 species
CAUCCACGAAGUCUGCCACAGUCUGAGGGAUGCCUCAGGGUCUCAGCUCAUUUGUAAAGAUAUAUUAAGUCCAAGAAAUGCUAACGAAAGCUUUUCAAGCCCAGACUAUCAACUUCCUCGGGAGCCAGAACUGUCUCAAGCAAGUUGCAUCACUAUGACUAAUGCAGAAUCAUCCCCAUACAAAUCAUGAAAAAGACGUGGAUUGGCAAGAAUUAGCCAAAGCCCUAGGAUAAGAAAAUUUAGAGCAAAAACAACAUCAGUGACAACAAAAACUGAAUAUGGAAAAGUGGACCUGUUGAUCAGCUGUCCUCGUUAAGAGUUAUAGCUUUUACCACAAUGAAAAAGGUGGGCAGAGAAUUUUGUCAUCGUCCCUGUUCUAGAGGAAGAGGUGAAUUUAUAUGCCUCUGACCUUACCACUUAUUCCAUGGAAGGACGAAUAGUGAAAGAUUAGAUCGAUUUUUGGAGAAAAUAGAGAGCUAAAGGAAACUAUGACAGGAAAGGCGUUCAACAAAAGAUACUGGGAGAAGGAAAGACAAAAUAAUGUUUUCAAGAAAGCAAAGAAUUCAUUUAUUCAACUAAGAUAUUUAAUUAGAAAGCUGCAAAAUGGUGAUGGCAAUGUGGAAGAAAGGCCAGCCUCAGGUUUUGAAAUAAACGACUGAUAAAGGAUGGGACCAGAUUUGCCAUUCUGGGUGCAUCAUUAUGAAAUAGGAAUUCCUGUUUUAAAUACUUUUUCAUUACGGCUUCUCCCUAUGUAUUUAAUUUUCACAACUGUUGCAAAUUUAAUUUUAAGCGGUGAAGGUGAAUGGGACAAGCACUGGAUUCUGGUUUUCUCUCUUUCACUCUCUAGCUGUGUGAUCUUUGACGAGUCAAUCUCUUUUGUAUCAUUUUCCUUGUCUGUAAAAUGUGUGAGCUGGAUUACUCCAUAGCACCUUUCACCUCUAAUAUUCUUUCAUUCAAUGAGAGAGAAAUUUAUUU